GCAUUAGCUCAGUUGGUAGAGCACGAAACUCUUAAUCUCAGGUUCAUGGGUUUGAGCCCCACAUUGGGUG